rnacentral:rRNA from 1 species
UACGAAGGGGGCUAGCGCUGCUCGGAAUCACUGGGCGUAAAGCGCACGUAGGCGGCUUGUUAAGUCGGGGGUGAAAUCCUGGAGCUCAACUCCAGAACUGCCUUUGAUACUGAAGAUCUUGAGUUCGGGAGAGGUGAGUGGAACUGCGAGUGUAGAGGUGAAAUUCGUAGAUAUUCGCAAGAACACCAGUGGCGAAGGCGGCUCACUGGCCCGAUACUGACGCUGAGGCACGAAAGCGUGGGGAGCAAACAGG